UGGGGAAUAUUGCGCAAUGGGCGAAAGCCUGACGCAGCGACGCCGCGUGGAGGAUGAAGGUCUUCGGAUUGUAAACUUCUGUUAAGUGGGAAAAAAGACUUGUCUUUAAUAGAGACGAGGGAUGAUUGUACCAUUAGAGAAAGCACUGGCUAACUUCGUGCCAGCAGCCGCGGUAAUACGAAGGGUGCGAGCGUUAUUCGGAAUCACUAGGGCGUAAAGGGUGUGUAGGCGGUAUAUUAAGUCUGUUGUUAAAUUCCUCGGCCUAACUGAGGACCCGCAACGGAUACUGGUGUACUGGAGGGUGGAAGAGAGGAGUGGAAUUCUCGGAGUAGCGGUAAAAUGCGUAGAUCUCGAGAGGAACACCAAUUGCGAAGGCAGCUCCUUGGUCCAUACCUGACGCUGAAACACGAAAGCGUGGGGAGCAAACAGGAUUAGAUACCCCGGUAGUCC
rnacentral:rRNA from 1 species